CCCAAUAUAAAUUUAUCCACGCUUAGCAAACCCCAAGUAAAACUGUUCGCCAUUAUAUUUAUACAUUUAAGCUGUCCCCGUUUCUUUCAACAACAAAUGUAUCAUUUUCAAUAAUUGAACUGCAGAAAACAAACAUCAUUUUGAAAGCUAAAAUAGACUUCUAACACAGACUAUGUCGAUAAGUACAAGCCAAGAAAAAGAAUGGUUGACUUGAGUGGAUUCGAACCACCAACCUCUCACAUCGCCCAAAAGGAAUGGAGCGCUCUACCAUUUUGAGCUUACAAGUCCAUAUCAGCAUUAAUUAACCACCGACGUAUUGCAUAAUAACAUUCCAGAAAAACAACCAGUGUGUGAAAAGUAAACAGAAAGAGUGAAGCACCACAAAAUAUAACAAUCAUCCCCAAAAAGAACCCAAAAUUGAAGUUUUACCUAAAAAUCUCAUGGCUUAAAUAAGAGAACCUUUCCAUUAUUACAUAACGAGAUAUAACAUGAGCAGCCCAGAAAAAAGGAUACUUGCAAAGGAUCAAAACAAACUAUAGGCAUAACCAUGACUAAUUGUAGAGAAACUACAGUACUUCGAUAAAUCAAAAGGAGACUUCAAACCAAAAAAUCAAAUAUAUGCAAACCAUACAACUGAGAGAACUGGCGUGUUCAGAUUCAUAAACUCCAUAACCAAAACAAUCUUCACCCGGCAUCACCACCAAAUCCUCGAGUGCAGCAUCAAAUGGAUCUCUGAACUUAAAAACAGGAUUCGUCCCGAGAUACUAAAGAAAAUACAUGUAAUCAACAAUACAAAACCCGGUAAAUAGACUAAUAACAAAGUCACCACUCUCCGACUCACUCGAGGUGUACAAACCUCACUACUACCCCAAUUGCAGUGUAUACGACAAACAUAAUAUAGAAAAGAACAUCGAAAACUUUUGGCUGCCCAUUCACGAGGCCCGGUUAAUAGUUAACAGUCAAUUGAAAUGAGAUUAUACUUAACAGGCAAUUGAAAGGAGAUUAUAGCCGUUCCAGCACAACAAAGUGAAGACUUCCGGAAAGGGUUGGCUUGAGAAAUACAGAACACAGAAUCGGAAUAGGAAACUUCCGGCGCACAAGUUAAUAAAGUACAAAAUUACCUGGCAGGAGUGAUGGAUGGAUGUUUCCUCGGGUAUCCAGGAUAAGUAUUAGACAAGUGAUAAACUGUUACCUUCAUGGUCAAGCGCCUUGAAACCCUGGCAAUUAGAGCAGGGAAGGAAGAAGUAGUAUGCUCCGAUCGGUCGCUUUUGGAGCAUAGGAGUAUGGAAGCGAUGGGACACAAGACACAGCAGAGGGAAGAACCCGGGCAAAUCCCCGUGCGAUCUCCCCUCUGAAACAAACGGUUGUUUUUUUAUUCAUUGGUGACCUGCCAUACGAGCGCACCCUAUAUGGCAAAGGUCGGAUGACAAAGAUACUAACAAGGACACCAGGCCACCGAGCACAGCGCCAUCAUCCCCCUCAUAUCUUAUACACCCACAAUCGAAGAUAUCCAGCUCCCGUCACUACGCAUCAUACUUGGCUCCAGCGGCAGACAAAACGCCUCGACAUACCUGAUCUGUGACUAGAGGGCGAGUACAUCUUCAGAUCCGAACAUAUGGAUAGAUCUACGAUAUCACACGCAGAACAAAAAUUACAACGGCUCUUCGAUACACGAACCAUAAGAAUCGCAUAAAUACAUGAACAACACCUUCCCUAUUGCACCAGCUGGUCAAUAACAGACCAUGUGAUCACAAAUCGCCUCCUUUCCGAUCGCACCAACUGAUCAGCAACAGGCCGUGUAAUCGCAAAUCUCUGGAAAGACGGAAAUAGAAGUCAUGUAACAAACAAGUGCAGAUAUAAUCAAGAAAAUGGAGAUUAGAUCGAAACCGGUGGACAGAUCUAUGUUACGCCAUCAACAUGCGAAUGAGAAGCCGGAACGACGGCUCAGCACGUCUCCGCCCUUGGUAGGUACCUCAUUGCGUAGAUCGUCGCCUGAUCUACAUGAGUGUAUCAUCCACGCGCCGUGUCGAACGACCAUGGAGAACAGAUCUGGAGAAAAGACGAACGGCCAGAAGGAGAACGGAGACAAAUAAAACAACCAGGGCGAAAGAAGCAAUAAAGAAAAGGUUAAGUAUGAUAAAAUAAUCAUAUCGAAAGGAGAAGGGAAGGCAGAGGGACUUCAUAUAGGGAAGAAACGAGAAUGGACGAACGAGAUUCGUGGUAGAUAGUUAACCUGAAACGGUAUGCAAACACGUGGCAGAUGUGGUCCUGGUUUCUGAGGCGGUGUUUAUAGGCAAAUAAA
rnacentral:lncRNA from 1 species